rnacentral:rRNA from 1 species
AUACGUAGGGUGCAAGCGUUAAUCGGAAUUACUGGGCGUAAAGCGUGCGCAGGCGGUUAUGUAAGACAGAGGUGAAAUCCCCGGGCUCAACCUGGGAACGGCCUUUGUGACUGCAUAGCUAGAGUACGGUAGAGGGGGAUGGAAUUCCGCGUGUAGCAGUGAAAUGCGUAGAUAUGCGGAGGAACACCGAUGGCGAAGGCAAUCCCCUGGACCUGUACUGACGCUCAUGCACGAAAGCGUGGGGAGC